GCAUUCUGUCCCAGAAGCAUAGGGCUGCACACUCUCCCUCCUGCCAUAUAUGGAGGACGCGGGGAUCGUGCGCAGCUGGGGUUUAAUGAGAGGCAAUCAGCCUUUCCAGUUAAAAGGGGGCAAAUGGGUAAGGAAAGCACAUUCGAGGCAGAGGAUUCCUGUAAGGUAUGGCUAUCAUUGAGCAUGAGAUUGCUGCAGAAUGAUUUGGUUAAUCCCUCCUUUUGAUUAUUUUAGGCAACCCUUUUUGUAGGCAAACACCAAAGAACCGUGGACUGUUUUUUUCAGACUAGAGUUUCCACUGGAUAAGAAAGAGGACCCCGUGACUCUGGAGAGCCUGUCGUGUUCUUGUGCUGCAGAAGAGCCUGCUGCCGAGCUCUGGUGGGUUCUCCCCUGAAC